rnacentral:lncRNA from 1 species
AGGUUCAAAAAGGGUAUAAUAUUUUCAAGCAUUUUGGGUGAAAAUUUGGCUAGAGAAGGGUUCUCAAAAAUGACCUUGAUCAUAUGACAUUUACAUGCAAUUCAAUCAAUCAUCAAGAUUAAGGCAAUAUUAUUCAUGUUUUCCUUUGAACAAUGCAUCCAACAAUAAAAACUCUGGAGCUCAAAAUCUCACACACAUGCUUUCUCACACAAAAUUCAAUCAUGCAUCCUGCUUAGCAUCAAAACCACAAUCAUAAUUCAUCACACAUCUAUUUCACAGAAUAUCAACAUGCAUUGCAACUCAAUUCUCAUCCACAUCAAAUAAUCAUCAAAUAGCUCCAUCAUGCACAUCAGUCAGUCAAACAUUUUCAGAAAAAGUAUUCAAGCCAAGAGUACACACUGAAAUUAAAAUUCAACCUAUUCUAAAAAUUUAAAAUGCAAAAGUAAAACAUGAAAUCUAGGUUGCCUCCUAGUAACGCUUGUUUAACGUCACGAGCCUGACCCAAACCUGUUUAGCACUUGUCAGUAAGUGAAAUUCCUUCCACCACCCAUCAGUAGGUGUGCCUUCCUGGAAUCCUUCAGUGGAUUCAAAAAUUUUAGCAUCCCUCAGUAGAUGUUAAUCAUUACUGCCAUCAGAAGCAGCGCAUAACCCA